GUUGGCUCAGUCAGUAGAGCAUGAGCCCCUUGAUUUCAGCAUCGUGGGUUCGAGCCCCAUGUUGGGCCA